AUAUAAGGAAUUACACAAUACCAAUAUGGUAAGGAUAUGAAUACAUAGAUCUAGUCUAACUACAUAUCCUAUUGGCAUAAGGCCAAGGCACACAUAGAGAAUAUCCUAGAACACUCGUCUAAUUAUAACCAGUUUUAGUAAAAUGGUCAAUGACAACGAUUUCUUGAUUUAGUUUUAAAAACUUAACUAGAACUGACUCCAACAAAAAACAUAGGUUCAUAGGGUCUCCAUAUUGAAUCUCAAGAAAUAGAGAAUAUGACUCUGUAAUUGUCAUGACACAAUUUUGGAUGACAUUUAAAGAGUUCAGGAAAAAAACUUAUUUUCAUUAAAAGACGACAUUUCUAACCUAAUGCUGCAAGGAUGUCCCAGGAGUCAUGAGCUCUUGGGGUCAAUAAUGGUAAGGAAUCACAUUGCUCUUAUGUAGGUAAUGAGAGACGAACUAAAAUUCUUCUCCACUUCUUGAAUAACACCCCACUUUACUCUUUCGUUCAUCCACAAUUAUGGCAUGCCUCGAUGACAUUCCGAGAUGCUUCGAUUAUUGGAAGAGUGUGCUUGACUGCAAUGUAGUUCUUGCAGCAUUUCCGUAAGGAAAUAGCUUUGUUGGUCACAUCCACAAUGCCACACCACAAUUGCUGGUUAUUCACACCUCAGUUUCCUUUCUUCUUAUUGAAGUGAUGUUCACUUUCGUGUUCUGUUUUCAUUGUUAACCAUAUGUUAGGUUUAUAGCAAUUAAGUCGCAAGACAUUUACGUUUUGUUACAUCUUAAGCCUUAUGUGUAAUUGUUGUGAUCUCUCUUU
rnacentral:lncRNA from 1 species